rnacentral:rRNA from 2 species
AAACGACUCUCGGCAACGGAUAUCUCGGCUCACGCAUCGAUGAAGAACGUAGCAAAAUGCGAUACUUGGUGUGAAUUGCAGAAUCCCGUGAACCAUCGAGUUUUUGAACGCAAGUUGCGCCCUAAGCCAUCCGGUUGAGGGCACGCCUGCCUGGGCGUCACG